GAUGAAGAACGUAGCGAAAUGCGAUAAGUAAUGUAAAUUGCAGAAUUCAGUGAAUCAUCGAAUCUUUGAACGCACAUUGCGCCCCCUGGUAUUCCGGGGGGCAUGCCUGUUCGAGCGUCAUUUCACCACUCAAGCCUCGCUUGGUAUUGGGCAACGCGGUCCGCCGCGUGCCUCAAAUCGUCCGGCUGGGUCUUCUGUCCCCUAAGCGUUGUGGAAACUAUUCGCUAAAGGGUGUUCGGGAGGCUACGCCGUAAAACAACCCCAUUUCUAAGGUUGACCUCGGAUCAGGUAGGGAUACCCGCUGAACUUAAGCAUAUCAAUAAGCGGAGGA
rnacentral:misc_RNA from 1 species